AUUGAACGCUGGCGGCAUGCUUUACACAUGCAAGUCGAACGGCAGCGCGGGCUUCGGCCUGGCGGCGAGUGGCGAACGGGUGAGUAAUGCAUCGGAACGUGCCCAGUAGUGGGGGAUAGCCCGGCGAAAGCCGGAUUAAUACCGCAUACGACCUGAGGGUGAAAGCGGGGGACCGAAAGGCCUCGCGCUAUUGGAGCGGCCGAUGUCGGAUUAGCUAGUUGGUGGGGUAAAGGCUUACCAAGGCGACGAUCCGUAGCUGGUCUGAGAGGACGACCAGCCACACUGAGACUGAGACACGGCCCAGACUCCUACGGGAGGCAGCAGUGGGGAAUGUUGGACAAUGGGGGCAACCCUGAUCCAGCCAUGCCGCGUGCGGGAAGAAGGCCUUCGGGUUGUAAACCGCUUUUGUUCGGGAAGAAAUCCUCUGGGCUAAUACCCCGGGGGGAUGACGGUACCGGAAGAAUAAGCACCGGCUAACUACGUG
rnacentral:rRNA from 1 species